rnacentral:rRNA from 1 species
UUGAACGCUGGCGGCAGGCCUAACACAUGCAAGUCGAGCGGAUGAAGGGAGCUUGCUCCUGGAUUCAGCGGCGGACGGGUGAGUAAUGCCUAGGAAUCUGCCUGGUAGUGGGGGAUAACGUCCGUAAACGGGCGCUAAUACCGCAUACGUCCUGAGGGAGAAAGUGGGGGAUCUUCUGACCUCACGCUAUCAGAUGAGCCUAGGUCGGAUUAGCUAGUUGGUGGGGUAAAGGCCUACCAAGGCGACGAUCCGUAACUGGUCUGAGAGGAUGAUCAGUCACACUGGAACUGAGACACGGUCCAAAAUGCUACGGGAGGGAGCAGUGGGGAGUAUUGGAGAAUGGGCGAAAGCCUGAUCCAGCCAUGCCGAGUGUGUGAAGAAGGUCUUCGGAUUGUAAAGCAAUUUAAGUUGGGAGGAAGGGUAGUAAGUUUAUACCUUGCUGUUUUGACGUUACCAACAGAAUAAGCACCGGCUAACUUCGUG